UACGAAGGGGGCUAGCGUUGCUCGGAAUCACUGGGCGUAAAGGGCGCGUAGGCGGCGUUUUAAGUCGGGGGUGAAAGCCUGUGGCUCAACCACGGAAUGGCCUUCGAUACUGGGACGCUUGAGUAUGGUAGAGGUUGGUGGAACUGCGAGUGUAGAGGUGAAAUUCGUAGAUAUUCGCAAGAACACCGGUGGCGAAGGCGGCCAACUGGACCAUUACUGACGCUGAGGCGCGAAAGCGUGGGGAGCAAACAGG
rnacentral:rRNA from 1 species